rnacentral:lncRNA from 13 species
GUUAAUAUAAGAAGCCAGGAGUUUAGAUAUAUUCAUGUGUAUACACAUAUACGUGUGUGUGCGACCCCCUUGUAGACCCCUGUCCGGUACCCGAUCCCAAGUAACAGCUCGAGCGAGAGUUGGAAGCCGAGUUCAGGUUUAUUGGGACCAGCGGGCAGGCCAGGAAAGGAAGGAGAUAGGGGCUGGCUGCGACUGUGCAGCUGGGGUAGGAGAGUUUUAUAGAGGGGGUGGACGGGGCGUGGACACAAGGCUGGCGGAGUGUCUUGGGAGCUUAGGAUAGGCUGUCCGUCUCUGGGCAGACUGCUGAGGUAGCUCAGAGGGUUAUGUGUCGGGUCAGGAUAGGCCGAGGCUUGGCGGGCUUUUCUGCUGCGAUGAUUGGCUGUUUGUUGUUGCUGGGCAGAACAGAGCAGAGCCUGAGGGUUUUCUUCCGGGCAGCGGGAAGCCUGGGGGGAGAGGGGUGAACGGGACUUUCUACCGAACAGUGUGUAUACAUGUUUCUCAAGAAAUUGUAGAAUGAGCUGGAAUACAAAAUCCUGAGAAGGGGCCGUACUGGGGAGAAGGACCUGAGAUCUAUUCUUCUCUCCCUUAGAAGCAGAACAUUCUUCAAGGCUUUGGCAGCAUGUCUGUUGCCCAUGAGGUUGAAGUCUACAGGGCAGACCGCAGUCAGGGAGAGAAAUCCCAAAUGGAUUAGAACCCCUAAGCAUGAACUACAGCUUCAAGAUGACAGAAUGAAAUCUGUAUCUGUUCUCCUUGCUUCUAACUUGGUAAUAAGUCUAUUUUACAGAAGCCAGGACCCUGCACUGCAGAGCCAAACACCUAUAAACAUAGUCCAAGAGUCAGAGAAGCUGAAGGAUGAUAAAGGAAACCAUGCAGCUAUUGAAGGCUUAAUUGAUUUCCUUUCCUAAACUUAAAGCAGAAUAUACUUCUUAAACUUUGUAUUCUUUUUUUUUUUUUGAGAUGGAGUUUCGCUCUUGUUACCCAGGCUGGAGUGCAAUGGCGUGAUCUUGGCUCGUGGCAACCUCCGCCUCCUGGGUUCAAGCAAUUCUCCUGCCUCAGCCUCCUAAACUUUGUAUUCUUUUCUCCUAUUUGUUAGUAUAUAAGUAGUAGUAGUUUAAUUUACCUAUUUCACAUCUGCCUUUGAACAAAUGAAGAACCCAUCAAAGUUAGCAUUCUUUUCAUUAUAAAAUGAUUGCUCUGAUCUGAAUCAGGUAACAAUGGGCCCUGUUCUAAAAAUGUUGAAAUGAUUUGGAACUAGGCAUUAUUAAGGAUAUAGUAAAUUAGCUUAUAAGCCUUGAAUUGUACUCCUUAUAUACAUAUGUGAGGAUAUAAAAGGGUUUUAAAUGAAACUUUUCUAAUUAUAUAAAAUUUUGUAUCCUUGUAUUAUAAAGCUUAGAAGUACUUAAACAUAAUAAAUACACCAAUUUCCAAGGAAAAUUCUUAAAU